GACGAACGCUGGCGGCGUGCCUAACACAUGCAAGUCGAACGGGGGUAGCAAUACCUCAGUGGCGAACGGGUGCGUAACACGUGAAGAAUUUGUCUAACGGCGGGGGAUAGCCGGCCCAACGGCCGGGUAAUACCGCGUACGACCUCUGGAGGGCAUCCUCUGGUGGUGAAAGCCGCAAGGCGCCGAUAGAGAACUUCGCGGCCUAUCAGCUAGUUGGCGGGGUAAUGGCCCACCAAGGCGACGACGGGAGCUGGUCCGAGAGGAUGACCAGCCACAUUGGGACUGAGACACGGCCCAGACUCCUACGGGAGGCAGCAGUGGGGAAUAUUGCGCAAUGGGCGAAAGCCUGACGCAGCGACGCCGCGUGUGGGAUGACGGCC
rnacentral:rRNA from 1 species